CUUGCAGCGAGCCGAGAUUGCGCCACUGCACUCCAGCCUGGGUGGCAAAGCCAGACUCCAUCUCAAAAGAAAACAAAAAACAAAAACAAAAUGUUCAGCAAGAGCUAUUUUGAGUAUUGCUUAAAAGCCAGUGCAUCUGAAUCAUCAAUUGACCUGCGAUAAGGAUGGACAGUUAACUAAACCACCUAGUGCCCUGGCUUUCCCUGAGAACCGUUCCCAUACAGCACAGCAAAGCGGGAAGUGCGUGCAAGCCACAUCAGAUCCUGGCUUCAGCUGGGCAGACUUCUAGGCCUGAGCCGUUGCCACUGCCCCAUGUAAGCUCGAGGAGGGAGAGAUGUCCGUCUUCUUCUCUGAUGAGUCCCCAACCCUUGAACCGCUCCUAGCACACAGCAGGUGCUCAAGCUGAAAGUCCGCACAGACCCCUUGGGAGAGGCCUUGAGCACGCAGCAUCUCAUCUCAUCAGAGCAUCUCCUUUCGUGUGCGUUUGAUUAAACACCUGGAAAACUGGCUUAUCUAGAAUUUACAAUGCAGUUUGGUCAUUUAAAAGUUAGCCUGGGCCGGCGCGGUGGCUCACACCUGUAAUCCCAGCACUUUGG
rnacentral:lncRNA from 1 species